GGAGUUGUGGCUCAGUGGUAGAGCAUUGUCUAGAACUCAUGAGGCCCUGGGUUUGAUCCCCAGCACCG
rnacentral:tRNA from 1 species